rnacentral:pre_miRNA from 1 species
UAUUGGUUGGUUGUCACCUGGAGUUCUCCUCAAACCACUUCAGUUGCUGCACCUAGCUAGUUUAAUGGCACUGUGCUUGCGUGCAAGCGGCCGGAGCUGUGUGUAGCUAGUGAAGUGUUUGGGGGAACUCUGGGUGUCAAUCAGCAAUU